GUGCCAGCCGCCGCGGUAAUACGGAGGGUGCAAGCGUUGUCCGGAUUUAUUGGGUUUAAAGGGUGCGUAGGCGGCCCGCUAAGUCUGUGGUGAAAUCCCGGGGCUCAACCCCGGAACUGCCCUGGAUACUGACGGGCUUGAGUUCGGUUAAGGCGGGCGGAACUGGUGGUGUAGCGGUGAAAUGCAUAGAUACCACCAAGAACCCCGAUUGCGUAGGCAGCUCGCUGAGCCGAAACUGACGCUGAGGCACGAAAGCGUGGGGACGAACAGGAUUA
rnacentral:rRNA from 1 species